UUUCCAUGCAUGUUAAACACAUUCUCUAACAGAUAAGCAAACGGCCAAACCGUCCCCUUCUCUAAAAAUGAAUAUCGGCGAGCAUGGCAAGGGAAGACUAUUAACGCUGGAGCUGAAAUGAAGCAUCCAUCUAAAGAAUAAUCGGUAAUUCUUUAAAUCGAAUGAAAGAGACUUUUAUAGUAGUUGUGUAAUUUUGUUUUGUUCCUCACUUCAGAAUGUGAGGUUUAUUAAAAUAGUGUAAAGGUGGUGUUGAAACACUCAGAAUGUCCAUAAAAAAAAAAACCAAAUCAAACCACACAGGGCAUACUGUAAAUAUAUUCAUUUAAAAAAUGUUGUUUUAAGAUUAUUUAGUAUAAUUUACUUCCAAAUAGGGGCUUGUCCCUUCCUCUUUUAUCGUAGCGAAUUGUUAUAGGCAUUUCUAUUCCACAGAAAAUAUUACGCUUUAAAAUCGAACGUUCAUAGUGGUUCCUAGAAUUCAGAGCUGGAAAACGAUCCAAUUCCCUAUACUUGAGUAAAAUGGCAAUUUUCCAAACGUCAAAGCCAUCACUGCGUUCAAAUGCUCACUUACAAAAAACUUUUGUAACACUUCAAAUCAUUUUUAAAGGUACAAAGUUUGACCCUAUAAUAUGCUAAAAAUUGAGUUUAGACUGCAUAUGGAAUAGCAAUUAUAGUCUCCAUCACCUAUGUUUUGCUUUAAUGUUAAGCACGUUUAUAAUUCCAUAUUACAAUACCCAGGCUUACGAUUCACCAACUUUCCUACUUUAAAAAAUAUGGGCUUUGCACAGUAUAG